ACAAAUAAAAUCCAAAAUUCACAAAUAAAACUCAAAACCCACAUGCAAAUAAACUCCCAAAAUCCAAAAGUCCAAAAUAAAAAUCCAAAACCAAAAGUCUAUAAAUAAAACCCAAAACCCAAAGUCCACAAAUAAAAUCCAAAACCCAAAGUCACCAAAUAAAACUCUAAAAUUCAAAGUUCACAAAUAAAACCCAAAACCCAAAGUCCACAAAUAAAACCAAACCCAAUCUAUUUCAUAAAUAAAAUCACCAAAGUCCAAGAGCAUAAAGCCCAAAACUACCAAACAUAUAUCGUCCAAAUGCUUCCAAUCCAAACCAAAUUUAGCUAAAUAAUUUCAUGCGCCUCUCAUGAGCCAAUUUCAUGAAGUAAAACGGGUUUCUCAUGAAUCAACUGAAUGAAAUAAAAAUAGGCUUCUCAUGAACCAAUUUCAUGAGCUUCCCUAUGAAUUAAUUUUAUGAACCAAAAUAGAAUUCCCAAAUAGGCAUCUAUCAUGAAUUAAUUUCAUAAACCAAUUUCAUGAAAUUCAACUUCAAGCCAACCGCCAUAUCGUUAAACCGAGCGUAUCAACUUCAAUUGACCGUCAAGUCAUUAAAACUAAACAAAUGACCAUCAAGUCGUUAAACUGAGUAAAUCAUAUCGAACUCUUUUUGACUGUCAAGUCGUUAAAAUGAGCAAAUCAAAUUCAAGUUCAAUAUGACCGUCAAGUCGAUAAACUGAAUUUAAAUUCAAAUUGACCGUCAAGUCAUUAAACUGAAUUCAAAUUCAAAAUUUCCAUUAAGUCGUUAAACUGAACAAACGACCGUCAAGUCGUUAAACUGAAUUCAAAUUCAAAAUGACCGUCAAGUCGUUAAACUAAACAUUUGACCGUCAAAUCCUUAUACUAAAUUCAAAUUCAAAUUGACCGUCAAUUUGUUAAACUGAAUUCAAAUUCAAAAUAUCCAUCAAGUCAUUAAACUAAACAAAUGACCGUCAAGUCGUUAAACUGAAUUCAAUUUUAAAAUGACCAUCAAGUCGUUAAACUAAAAUUUGACUGUCAAGUCGUUAAACUGAAUUCAAAUUCAAAUUAAUCGUCAAAUCGUUAAACUGAAUUCAAAUUUAAAACGACCAUCAAGUCAUUAAACAAAACAAAUGACCGUUAAGUCGUUAAACUGAAUUCAAAUUCAAAAUGACCAUUAAGUCGUUAAACUCAAUAUUUGACCGUCAAGUCGUUAAAUUGAAUUCAAAUUCAAAUUAACCGUCAAGUCGUUAAACUGAAUUCAAAUUCAAAACAACCAUCAAUUCGUUAAACUGAAUUCAAAUUCAAAAUGACCGUCAAGUCGUAAAACUAAACAUUUGACCGUCAAAUCCUUAUACUAAAUUCAAAUUCAAAUUGACCGUUAAAUCAUUAAACGAAGCAAACUAAUUUCAAACUCAAUUUGACCGCUAAGUUGUUAAACUAAGCAAACCAAUUUCAAAAUCAAUUUGACCGCCAAGUCUUUAAACUGAACAAACUAAUUUUAAAAUUAAUUUUACCGCCAAGUCGUUAAAUUGAGCAAAUUAUAUCAAACUCUUUUUGACCGUCAAGCCGUUAAACUGAGCAAAUUAAUAGCAAACUCUUUCUUACCGUCAAGUCGUUAAACUGAGCAAAUCAUUUCAAAAUCAAUUUGAACACCAAGUCCUUAAAUUGAGCAAAUUAUAUCAAACUUCUUUUGACCGUCAAGUCGUUAAACUAAGUAAAUCAUUUUAAAAUCAAUUUAACCGCCAAGUUGUUAAACUGAGCAAAUUAUAUCAAACUCUCUUUGAUCGUCAAGUCAUUAAACUGAACAAAUCAUUUCAAAAUCAAUUUGACCGCCAAGUCGUUAAAUUGAACAAAUUAUAUCAAACUCCUUUUGACUGCCAAGUCGUUAAAC
rnacentral:lncRNA from 1 species